rnacentral:lncRNA from 1 species
CGGACGCGUGGCCGAGCUCGAGAUCCAGCGGCGGGGGCGCGGCGGGAUACGGCAGGGAAGGGGUGGAGGACUCGACGGUGCUGCUGCUGGGGCUGGAGGCGGCGGAUCCGGACCCAGCACCGACGAAGACGGCGGGGAAGUGGCGAGGGUCGGGGUAGGGGAAGUUGGUCUUGGCCUUGGGGCCGCGGAACUGGAGAGCGGCGGCGUCGUAGGCGCGCGCCGCCUCCUCCGCCGUGUCGAAGGUACCGAGCCAGACGCGGCUCUUCUUCGCGGGGUCGCGGAUCUCCGCGGCGUACCGCCCCCACGGCCGCUUCCUCACGCCCCGGAAGCGAAUGACCUGCAAGUUUCCUCCUCCCUCUCCGGCGUCGCCUCCCUUCGUCCUCGGAGCCAUU